AUGAUUUCCGUAGAAGGCACAAUAAACUACAAGUGAAAAGUGCGUUCAAAGAUCAAAAUAUCUUGUAUUUUAACUUCAAUUUUCUCGAGAAAACAUGAGUUUACUUCGCUGUCCUUUCCUGGCUCGUCAGCCGAUGUCUGUACUUCGUUCAAAGAGUACACAUUUGAUGAAUUUCGCUCGAAAUUGUCCCGUGAUGUCGCGAGUUUUGAACUCUCUUCACCCGGCCAGCCAGCUGCACACUUCAGGUAUUUCUUCUUGUUUUGUCUAACGUUUUAAUAAGCUGUUAUUAAGGUUGUGGUUGAUUUAGGGUUCAUUUUUAUUUGGGGUUUUAUGGUAUCAAAGCUUUUCUUUCCCAAACCGUUGUGAAAAAUUGUAAACAUAAAUUACAUAAUUACAAAAUGAAUUUAAAGUUCAUUAUUUUUUUAUGUGAAAGGAAGUAUAUAAAAUAAUGACAAUACAUGACCGCUUGUAAAAGUUGAAGUAUCGUUUCAUAGCCAAUUUAUGAAUUAAAGCUAUCCUGGAUAAAUAGAAGGGAUUUAUUUAAGAACGAAGCUGUUCAAUUCAGCGCUAUGAGGUUUAUACUUGCGUUCAUAUCCGUCACCCAAAAUUUACCUCGAGUGAAGUGAAGUGUAAAAUUUUACAUACAAAAGUGGUCUAUAUUCAAUCUCUGAAGUACACGUACGCUUUUUCAUUUCAGGUGUAAAACCAGC